rnacentral:rRNA from 1 species
UGCCAGCCGCCGCGGUAAUACGGAGGGUGCAAGCGUUAAUCGGAAUUACUGGGCGUAAAGCGCGCGUAGGCGGUUUCGUAAGUCGGAUGUGAAAGCCCAGGGCUUAACCCUGGAAUUGCAUUCGAUACUGCGUAACUAGAGUAUGGUAGAGGGAAGUGGAAUUUCCGGUGUAGCGGUGAAAUGCGUAGAUAUCGGAAGGAACGCCAGUGGCGAAGGCGACUUCCUGGGCCAAUACUGACGCUGAGGUGCGAAAGCGUGGGUAGCGAACGGGAUUAGAUA